rnacentral:rRNA from 1 species
CCGGCGCACGGGUGAGUAACACGUAUGCAAUCCACCUGUAACAGGGGGAUAACCCGGGGAAAUCCGGACUAAUACCCCAUAAUAUGGGCGCUCCGCAUGGAGAGCCCAUUAAAGAGAGCAAUUUUGGUUACAGACGAGCAUGCGCUCCAUUAGCCAGUUGGCGGGGUAACGGCCCACCAAAGCGACGAUGGAUAGGGGUUCUGAGAGGAAGGUCCCCCACAUUGGAACUGAGACACGGUCCAA